GCCCUACGGGUGGCAGCAGUGGGGAAUAUUGCACAAUGGGGGAAACCCUGAUGCAGCCAUGCCGCGUGUGUGAAGAAGGCCUUCGGGUUGUAAAGCACUUUCAGCGAGGAGGAAAGGUCAGUAGCUAAUAUCUGCUGGCUGUGACGUUACUCGCAGAAGAAGCACCGGCUAACUCCGUGCCAGCAGCCGCGGUAAUACGGAGGGUGCAAGCGUUAAUCGGAAUUACUGGGCGUAAAGCGCACGCAGGCGGUUGGAUAAGUUAGAUGUGAAAGCCCCGGGCUCAACCUGGGAAUUGCAUUUAAAACUGUCCAGCUAGAGUCUUGUAGAGGGGGGUAGAAUUCCAGGUGUAGCGGUGAAAUGCGUAGAGAUCUGGAGGAAUACCGGUGGCGAAGGCGGCCCCCUGGACAAAGACUGACGCUCAGGUGCGAAAGCGUGGGGAGCAAACAGGAUUAGAUACCCGAGUAGUC
rnacentral:rRNA from 1 species